rnacentral:tRNA from 1 species
GGGGUUGUGGCGCAGUUGGGAGCGCGCCUGAUUCGCAUUCAGGAGGUCGGGGGUUCGAGUCCCCCCAGCUCCA